UACGUAGGGUGCAAGCGUUAAUCGGAAUUACUGGGCGUAAAGCGUGCGCAGGCGGCUUUGCAAGACAGAUGUGAAAUCCCCGGGCUUAACCUGGGAACUGCAUUUGUGACUGCAUGGCUAGAGUGCGGCAGAGGGGGAUGGAAUUCCGCGUGUAGCAGUGAAAUGCGCAGAUAUCAGGAGGAACACCGGUGGCGAAGGCGGAUCUCUGGGCCUUACCUGACGCUGAGGCGCGAAAGCUAGGGGAGCGAACAGG
rnacentral:rRNA from 1 species